GUCCACGCCCUAAACGAUGAAUACUAGACGUUGGGUGUAAAACUCAGUGUCGAAGCUAACGCAUUAAGUAUUCCACCUGGGGAGUACGAUCGCAAGGUUGAAACUCAAAGGAAUUGACGGGGCCCGCACAAGCAGUGGAGCAUGUGGUUCAAUUCGAUGCAACGCGAAGAACCUUACCUGGGCUUGAAACGCAGAUUAAGGGGAAUGAAAGUUCCCGUGCCGCAAGGCGAAUCUGUACAGGUGCUGCAUGGCUGUCGU
rnacentral:rRNA from 1 species